CCUACGGGGGGCUGCAGUGGGGAAUAUUGGACAAUGGGCGAAAGCCUGAUCCAGCCAUGCCGCGUGUGUGAAGAAGGCCUUCGGGUUGUAAAGCACUUUCAGUGGGGAAGAAAGCCUUGGGGCUAAUACCCUCGAGGAAGGACAUCACCCACAGAAGAAGCACCGGCUAACUCCGUGCCAGCAGCCGCGGUAAUACGGAGGGUGCGAGCGUUAAUCGGAAUUACUGGGCGUAAAGCGCGCGUAGGCGGUCUGAUAAGCCGGUUGUGAAAGCCCCGGGCUCAACCUGGGAACGGCAUCCGGAACUGUCAGGCUAGAGUGCAGGAGAGGAGGGUAGAAUUCCCGGUGUAGCGGUGAAAUGCGUAGAGAUCGGGAGGAAUACCAGUGGCGAAGGCGGCCUUCUGGACUGACACUGACGCUGAGGUGCGAAAGCGUGGGUAGCAAACAGGAUUAGAUACCCGUGUAGUC
rnacentral:rRNA from 1 species